rnacentral:tRNA from 1 species
GGAGGAGUGGCCGAGCGGUCGAAGGCAGCGGUCUUGAAAACCGCCGGAGGCGCAAGUCUCCCGGGGGUUCGAAUCCCUCCUCCUCCGCCA